CUCCGUUCAGUUUUCUCCAUUUUCUAUUACGUAUUUUGAUCUACUACGUCACAUCCUUUGGGGCGGGACUACCAAACAAGGUGGGUGUGGCCAAACCGUUUUGCAAAUCUGCCAUCUUUAUUACUUGGAGAGACGUUUGUAGUCCAAACAACUCCAGGAUGCCGAAAUGGAGAGAUCAAAAUGUUCCGUUGUUGGAUGCAUCAAUCCACACACAAAUCAUUGCACGUCCCCCAACAUUAGAACCUCAUAUAGUAUAGAGAAGGAUUUGCUGAAAGACUUUGUUUCGUCGAUGGUUCAGUUCCUUCAAUCUAUGGAAUUGACGGACACAGUAAAGCAGUAAGCUUGAGAUGACACAAAAAUAAUAAACUGUAUUUCACUUUAAUAAUAUUGCGUGUCUUUCAACUCGCAUUCAUAGCAUUAGCGUCACGCUUUCUGCUGAUUUUAGAGCUGUGCGCUUUUUACUUCUGUGGGUGUAUUUUGAGUACCGUAAAUUCCGGACUAUAAGCCGCACCGGACUAUAAACCGCACCAGCUAAAAUUGGGGGAUAUUUUAGUUUUUUUCUUAUAUAAGCCGCACCGAACUAUAAACCGCACGUGCACAUGCGUCUUUUUACAAGGAAAGACCGUUCACAGAAAGCCUUUUUAAAGUUUUAAUAACAUACUUUAACAUGUCUUUCUAAACACUGCCUGUGACGAAGGGUUUAGAGCCCUUUGACGCAGGUCACCUAGCGUGCAUUCCUACUAAAGCUCAUAAUAGUCACAAGCAACACAGCCAGAAUAAGCAGCAGCCAUAGUAGUGUUUCAAAAUAGUAUUUUUGUUGGUUUUUUUUUCUUCAAGAUACCGCACUGUAUAAAAGUGAUCAAGUCAUCACAAAAAUAAAUCCUUAUAUAAGCCACACCUGACUAUAAGCCGCAGGGUUCAAAAUUUUGGGAAAAAGUCGCGUUUUAUAAUCCGGAAUUUACGGUAGUUGUAUCAGAAUAAUUGCAUCGAAGGUGCUGUAUUAUUCUUGGGGAACACAAUAAUGUCUUAAAUGCAUUCAUUUGCUUCUCGCUAACGCUAGCAUUAGCUGACUUAGUAGCUUGACUGCAGUGACAAGAUGUGUUCAUAAAUAUUGUGAUGGAAUUUAUUUUGUUACGUGUUAUGUAUGUAUGGACAAGUCUUCAGCCAUUGACAUAUUUUAAUCAAUCAAAAUGUUUGCGGCGCAAGUAAACGCUUCAUCGGCUAAACUACAAACAUGUCGACCGGGAAAGGGAGGCGCACAUCUUGUGGCCUGGAGGGUGUGAAGUAUCUCAUUUGCAUUUAAAGUAGGUGUGUCCAAACUACGGCCCACGGGCCAACUGCGGCCCACGGGCCAGUUUUUAUUGGCCCGCAGCAAAUUCUGAAAACAUAAUUGAAUAUGGCCCGCACAAGAAGCUUGAGCUCAACUCUGUUGCACUUCUCAGUUUCCACACUAGAUGGAGCCCGCCACACAAAGCGUUUGAAGUCCCAUUUAAAAACACCAUUAUUAUUUAGUUUUAAAAGAUGACGCUCACAGUCAGUUGAGGAUAACGUUGAUGCCUCCCGUAUAGGAAGUUAUUACUGUGUGGUCUGUGCUCGUAUGCAAUUUUCUCCUCUUCCUGCAGUAGGAAAUGAAUUGAGAGGUCCAAUAUUGUUUUACCCAAGUAGCAGGUAAGGGUAAACUCGCGGUCUGCCAUGUUCCCCUUAUCUACGACAACAAAAGCACUUGAACACAAUGUACUCGUAACUUCCACUUCACAAGUACAAGUGGAAAGUUUCAUCUUUCCCAUACCACGUGAAGGCAACGUAGGAUCUCGCUGAAUGCCCACGGAAAUGGCAAAUAAAUCGUUAAGCGUUGGCAGCGCGCAAACGGGACGCCACAACCGGACGAGCUCGAGCUGGGCACCUCGCGAAAUGUUGAAACAAGUUGUUCAACAACAACAACAAAACGUGCUGCUGCCAUUAGUUGCGAGCUCAGCGCUAUCACGGACGCUCACGGCCAGGACGAUCGGUCAACACGACCGACUCGAACGGGCUAACGACGAGCCCCUGGGCGCUCGCGUGGGCUCACCUCAACCAAUGUUGCCGCCCAAAAAGAUGUAGUUGAGCAAAUGACGUUUAUUGCAGCUUGGCGACCGCCCUUUGCGUUUGUGGCAUUGGCUUGUUAGUCAAACCUAGCAUAGCCAGCUAACAAUGGCUACCUUCCAGGCUAGCUCGAGUCAAGACAACCAUCAAUCCCAAAAAGCUACACAUGAUGACAUUCCUAUUUCGUUCAUAGGAAUACAUUCACGUUAUGACGUUUGACUUGCUAGCUGGGAGAGAGCGGCGAGAAAUGAUGAAAGGCUACAAAAACCAAGCAGUAUGAUGUCUCCGAUGUCCUGGCGUAUUUCGUGUCCGUUCUCGGCGCCGUUCUCCAGGCCCGACGGAGGCUCGUCGGCGGGGUGGUGUUGCGCUUGCGAUGGAGGCGGGGCUCGGUGGGCCAUCCCGGGGUGGCCGCUCAUGGCGAGGCCCCGGCCGUUGGAGGCCCCGUUGGCCGUCAGAGGCUGCUGCGGCUGCUGCUGCAACAUCUCGUCGAGCGACGCGCAGUGGCGGCGACUACGACUGCUGCUGCUGCUGCUGCUCGACGAUUGAGACUGAACUGAGCGCACCAGCGCCACCACUCCCCCAGCGCACACCAGGCGGCCGCCGGCCGGCAGGCUUAGCGGUCGGGACGCCCCCUCGCGCCAGCUGUGGGGACCUCCACGAGUUGACUGUCUCCAUCGAAAAUAAAGCACCGUCAAUGUCAA